UACCUGGUUGAUCCUGCCAGUAGUCAUAUGCUUGUCUCAAAGAUUAAGCCAUGCAUGUCUAAGUAUAAAUCGUUUAUACAGGUGAAACUGCGAAUGGCUCAUUAAAUCAGUUAUAAUUUAUUUGAUAGUACCUUACUACUUGGAUAACCGUGGUAAUUCUAGAGCUAAUACAUGCUAAAACCUCCGACUUCUGGAAGGGGGUGUAUUUAUUAGAUAAAAAACCAAUAUCGGGCAACCGAUUCCCUUGGUGAUUCAUAAUAACUUUUCGAAUCGUAUGACUUUACGUCGACGAUGAAUCAUUCAAAUUUCUGCCCUAUCAACUUUCGAUGGUAGGAUAGA
rnacentral:ncRNA from 1 species